rnacentral:rRNA from 1 species
UACGUAGGGAGCAAGCGUUGUCCGGAUUUAUUGGGCGUAAAGAGCUCGUAGGCGGCUUAGCAAGUCGGGUGUGAAACCUCCAGGCUCAACCUGGAGACGCCACUCGAUACUGCUAUGGCUUGAGUUCGGUAGGGACCAUGGAAUUCCUGGUGUAGCGGUGAAAUGCGCAGAUAUGCGGAGGAACACCGAUGGCGAAGGCAAUCCCUGGCCUCGCGACUGACGCG